UACGAAGGGUGCAAGCGUUAAUCGGAAUUACUGGGCGUAAAGCGCGCGUAGGUGGUUUGUUAAGUUGAAUGUGAAAUCCCCGGGCUCAACCUGGGAACUGCAUGCAAAACUGGCAAGCUAGAGUAUGGUAGAGGGUGGUGGAAUUUCCUGUGUAGCGGUGAAAUGCGUAGAUAUAGGAAGGAACACCAGUGGCGAAGGCGACCACCUGGACUGAUACUGACACUGAGGUGCGAAAGCGUGGGGAGCAAACAGG
rnacentral:rRNA from 1 species